rnacentral:rRNA from 1 species
AGCAGCCGCGGUAAUUCCAGCUCCAAUAGCGUAUAUUAAAGUUGUUGCAGUUAAAAAGCUCGUAGUUGAAUUUCGGGGUUAAUAAGUUGGUCGUACCUAUGGUAUGUACAGGCUUUAUUGAUUCCUACCUCUUGACGAACUGUGAUGCCAUUAAUUUGGUGUUGCAAGGAAUCAGGACUGUUACCUUGAAAAAAUUAGAGUGUUUAAAGCAGGCUUACGCUUGAAUACAUUAGCAUGGAAUAAUGAAAUAGGACGUUUGAACCUAUUUUGUUGGUUUCUAGGAUCGACGUAAUGAUUAAUAGGGAUAGUUGGGGGCAUUAGUAUUCAAUUGUCAGAGGUGAAAUUCUUGGAUUUAUUGAAGACUAACUACUGCGAAAGCAUUUGCCAAGGAUGUUUUCAUUAAUCAAGAACGAAAGUUAGGGGAUCGAAGACGAUCAGAUACCGUCGUAGUCUUAACCAUAAACUAUGCCGACUAGGGAUCGGAUGAUGUAAUUUUUAAUGACUCAUUCGGCGCCUUACG